GACGAACGCUGGCGGCGUGCUUAACACAUGCAAGUCGAACGGAAAGGCCCUGCUUUUGUGGGGUGCUCGAGUGGCGAACGGGUGAGUAACACGUGAGUAACCUGCCCUUGACUUUGGGAUAACUUCAGGAAACUGGGGCUAAUACCGGAUAGGAGCUCCUGCUGCAUGGUGGGGGUUGGAAAGUUUCGGCGGUUGGGGAUGGACUCGCGGCUUAUCAGCUUGUUGGUGGGGUAGUGGCUUACCAAGGCUUUGACGGGUAGCCGGCCUGAGAGGGUGACCGGCCACAGUGGGACUGGGGUACGGGCCGAAGUCCUACGGGAGGCAGCGGUGGAGGAUAGUGCACAAUGGGCGGAAGCCUGAUGCAGCAACGCCGCGUGCGGGAUGACGGCCUUCGGGUUGUAACCCGCUUUCGCCUGUGACGAAGCGUGAGUGACGGUAAUGGGUAAAGAAGCACCGGCUAACUACGUG
rnacentral:rRNA from 1 species